rnacentral:rRNA from 1 species
AACGAACGCUGGCGGCAUGCCUAACACAUGCAAGUCGAACGAGAACUUCGGGUCUAGUGGCGCACGGGUGCGUACCACGUGGGAACCUGCACUUAGGUUCGGAGUAACUCACCGAAAGGGAUGCUAAUGCCGGAUAAUGUCUUCGGACCAAAGAGUUAUCGCCUUUGGAUGGGCGUGCGUUGGAUUCGCGAGUUGGUAGGGUACAAGCCUGCCAAGGCGAGGUUCCAUAGCUGGUCUGAGAGGAUGCCCCGCUACACUGGGACUGCGACACGGGCCAGACCGCGACGCAGGGCAGCAGAGUGGAGUAUUAGGCAAUGGACGAAGGUGUGAUCCAGCAGUGCGGCGGAAGUGAUGAAGGGGUUAGUGUUGUAAAUCCCUUUGAGACGAGAUGAGAAUGACAGUAACGGGAGAAUAAGCUCCGGCUAACUCCGUG